CCUUUUCAAAGGGCGACUGGGUUUUUAGGAGACCCAAUUGCCAAAUCCUGGAUUUGGAAAAUCAUCAUCCAACACCCAUUUUUUUCGUUCGGGCGUCGCUGUAGAGAUUUUAGGACUUUUUGGAAGCAAGAGAGAUUGAAAAAUUAGCCGGGAAUCGAGCCACGGACCUCUGGAAUAUGCGCCGAGCGUGGAGACCACCACACCACGAAGGCAUUAGAAAUACCUUAUAAUCUUAUGUGUUAAUUGACGGUAAAUUAAGAUAAUGAAGUAACCAUCUCUUUUACAAUAGUAGUUCAAUAAUUAAAAUAGCUUACAGUCAUUUCUCAAAGAAAUGUCAAAAUAUUUUACAAUAGUAGUAAUUUAAAUAAAGUUUCACGUUUGUUAGUUUUCAGAUAUUAUUAAAUAAGUGAUUCUACUCUUCAGGUUGGCGGUGUAAAACUUAUGGUCAUAGAACUGGUGAUAGAGAAUGUCCAUUAUUUGUUACAGGAAAUGCACAGAUUGAAAAAUUUCGAUAUAUUCAUGAGGAUCCAAUGCAUAAUUUUAUUUCUGAGAAAAGAAAAGCUGAAAAACUUGAAAGAGUACAACAAUUACAAGCUCUUCUAGCAUCUUCAGAUACUUCUACAAGUUCAUCCUCUGAAUCUAGUUCUGAAAGUUCUAGUGAUGAAAGAAAGAAGCAUAAAAGAAAAAGGAAAAAGUCACAUCAUAAGCACAAAAAGAAGAAAAAGCAUAAAUAAAGAAAAUAGCUUAAAAUGUAUAUAUUUAUUUGUAGGUGCUAUUAUGUAAAGUGCACUCAAGCUUGCUCAAAGUUCUAUGUUUUUUCAUUAAUGUAUUGAGGAAUAAGAUAAAGUGUAGAAUAUUGUUA